GGGCAAGUCUGGUGCCAGCAGCCGCGGUAAUUCCAGCUCCAAUAGCGUAUAUUAAAGUUGUUGCAGUUAAAAAGCUCGUAGUUGGAUUUCUGUUAAUAAUUUAUAUAAAAUAUUUUGAUGAAUAUUUAUAUAAUAUUAACAUAAUUCAUAUUACUAUAUAUUUUAGUAUAUGAAAUUUUACUUUGAGAAAAUUAGAGUGCUUAAAGCAGGCAUAUGCCUUGAAUACUCCAGCAUGGAAUAAUAUUAAAGAUUUUUAUCUUUCUUAUUGGUUCUAAGAUAAGAAUAAUGAUUAAUAGGGACAGUUGGGGGCAUUUGUAUUUAACAGUCAGAGGUGAAAUUCUUAGAUUUGUUAAAGACAAACUAAUGCGAAAGCAUUUGCCAAGGAUGUUUUCAUUAAUCAAGAACGAAAGUUAGGGGAUCGAAGACGAUCAGAUACCGUCGUAGUCUUAACCAUAAACUAUGCCAACUAGAGAUUGGAGGUUGUUCCUUACUCCUUC
rnacentral:rRNA from 1 species